rnacentral:rRNA from 1 species
AAUUUUGGACAAGGGGGGCAACCCUGAUCCAGCCAUCCCGCGUGUGCGAUGAAGGCCUUCGGGUUGUAAAGCACUUUUGGCAGGGAAGAAAAGGCACUGGCUAAUACCUGGAGCUGCUGACUGUACCUGCAGAAUAAGCAUCGGCUAACUACGUGCCAGCAGCCGCGGGAAUACGUAGGGUGCAAGCGUUAACCGGAAUUACUGGGCGUAAAGCGUGCGAAGGCGGUUCGGCAAGAAGGAUGUGAAAUCCCAGGGCUUAACCUUGGAACUGCAUUCUUAACUGCCGGGCUAGAGUAUGUCAGAGGGGGGUAGAAUUCCGCGUGUAGCAGUGAAAUGCGUAGAGAUGCGGAGGAAUACCGAUGGCGAAGGCAGCCCCCUGGGAUAAUACUGACGCUCAGACACGAAAGCGUGGGGAGCAAACA